rnacentral:rRNA from 1 species
CAUCCUCCAAGGCUAAAUACUCCUGACUGACCGAUAGUGAACCAGUACCGUGAGGGAAAGGCGAAAAGAACCCCGGCGAGGGGAGUGAAAAAGAACCUGAAACCGUGUACGUACAAGCAGUGGGAGCCCCACCACUAAGCCAGUGGUGAACUCCACAUACGCAUCCUUUGCUGAGGAUACGGUUAACGGAGCGAAAGCGACGUUCAACCGCAAAAGAAGCAGAGGGGGCUUAGUGGUGGGGUGACUGCGUACCUUUUGUAUAAUGGGUCAGCGACUUAUAUUCUGUAGCAAGGUUAACCGAAUAGGGGAGCCGGAGGGAAACCGAGUCUUAAUUGGGCGUUAAGUUGCAGGGUAUAGACCCGAAACCCGGUGAUCUAGCCAUGGGCAGGUUGAAGGUUGGGUAACACUAACUGGAGGACCGAACCGACUAAUGUUGAAAAAUUAGCGGAUGACCUGUGGCUGGGGGUGAAAGGCCAAUCAAACCGGGAGAUAGCUGGUUCUCCCCGAAAGCUAUUUAGGUAGCGCCUCGUGAAUUCAUCUCCGGGGGUAGAGCACUGUUUCGGCUAGGGGGCCAUCCCGGCUUACCAACCCGAUGCAAACUGCGAAUACCGGAGAAUGUUAUCACGGGAGACACACGGCGGGUGCUAACGUCCGUCGUGAAGAGGGAAACAACCCAGACCGCCAGCUAAGGUCCCAAAGUCAUGGUUAAGUGGGAAACGAUGUGGGAAGGCCCAGACAGCCAGGAUGUUGGCUUAGAAGCAGCCAUCAUUUAAAGAAAGCGUAAUAGCUCACUGGUCGAGUCGGCCUGCGCGGAAGAUGUAACGGGGCUAAACCAUGCACCGAAGCUGCGGCAGCGA